UACGGGGGGAGCAGGCGUUGUUCGGAUUUACUGGGCGUAAAGGGCGCGUAGGCGGCGUAACAAGUCACUUGUGAAAUCUCCGGGCUUAACCCGGAGCGGCCAAGUGAUACUGUUGUGCUAGAGUGCGGAAGGGGCUACUGGAAUUCUCGGUGUAGCGGUGAAAUGCGUAGGUAUCGAGAGGAACACCUGCGGCGAAAGCGGUGCACUGGGGCUUAACUGACACUGAGGCACGAAAGCCAGGGGAGCGAACGGG
rnacentral:rRNA from 1 species